rnacentral:rRNA from 1 species
CAGUAGCCGCGGUAAUACGAAGGGGGCUAGCGUUGCUCGGAAUGACUGGGCGUAAAGGGCGCGUAGGCGGUUUAUACAGUCAGAUGUGAAAUUCCUGGGCUCAACCUGGGGACUGCAUUUGAUACGUAUGGACUUGAGUGGAGAAGAGAGUCGUGGAAUUUCCAGUGUAGAGGUGAAAUGCGUAGAGAUCGGGAGGAACAUCAGUGGCGAAGGCGGCCAUCUGGGACAACACUGACGCUGAGGCACGAAAGCGUGGGGAGCAGACAGGAUUAGAUACCCGCGUAGUCCCUGUCUCUUAUAC